GUUGGGUUAAGUCCCGUAACCGAGCGCAACCCUUGUCCUUAGUUACCAGCACGUUAUGGUGGGCACUCUAAGGAGACUGCCGGUGACAAACCGGAGGAAGGUGGGGAUGACGUCAAGUCAUCAUGGCCCUUACGGCCUGGGCUACACACGUGCUACAAUGGUCGGUACAAAGGGUUGCCAAGCCGCGAGGUGGAGCUAAUCCCAUAAAACCGAUCGUAGUCCGGAUCGCAGUCUGCAACUCGACUGCGUGAAGUCGGAAUCGCUAGUAAUCGUGAAUCAGAAUGUCACGGUGAAUACGUUCCCGGGCCUU
rnacentral:rRNA from 1 species